rnacentral:rRNA from 1 species
UACGGAGGGUGCAAGCGUUGUCCGGAUUUACUGGGCGUAAAGGGCGCGUAGGCGGUCAGCACAAGUCAGUUGUGAAAUCUCCGGGCUUAACUCGGAAAGGUCAACUGAUACUGUGCGACUAGAGUGCGGAAGGGGCAACUGGAAUUCUCGGUGUAGCGGUGAAAUGCGUAGAUAUCGAGAGGAACACCUGCGGCGAAGGCGGGUUGCUGGGCCGACACUGACGCUGAUGCGCGAAAGCCAGGGGAGCGAACGGG